rnacentral:rRNA from 1 species
UACGGAGGGGGCUAGCGUUGUUCGGAAUUACUGGGCGUAAAGCGCACGUUAGGCGGCGACUCAAGUCAGAGGUGAAAGCCCGGGGCUCAACCCCGGAACUGCCUUUGAAACUAGGUUGCUAGAAUCUUGGAGAGGUCAGUGGAAUUCCGAGUGUAGAGGUGAAAUUCGUAGAUAUUCGGAAGAACACCAGUGGCGAAGGCGACUGACUGGACAAGUAUUGACGCUGAGGUGCGAAAGCGUGGGGAGCAAACAGG